rnacentral:rRNA from 1 species
UACGUAGGGUGCGAGCGUUAAUCGGAAUUACUGGGCGUAAAGCGUGCGCAGGCGGCGCGUUAAGACAGGUGUGAAAGCCCCGAGCUUAACUUGGGGAAUUGCGCUUGUGACUGGCGAGCUGGAGUGUGGCAGAGGGAGGUGGAAUUCCACGUGUAGCAGUGAAAUGCGUAGAGAUGUGGAGGAACACCGAUGGCGAAGGGCAGCCUCCUGGGCCAGCACUGACGCUCAUGCACGAAAGCGUGGGGAGCAAACAGG